AGCAUGGGAGUAGCAAUACCUCUGAUGGCGACCGGCGCACGGGUGCGUAACGCGUAUGCAACCUACCUGUAACAGGGGGAUAACACUGAGAAAUCGGUACUAAUACCGCAUAACACUAUGAGAGGCAUCUCUUGUGGUUGAAAGUUUCGGCGGUUACAGAUGGGCAUGCGUUGUAUUAGCUGGUUGGUAAGGUAACGGCUUACCAAGGCGACGAUACAUAGGGGGACUGAGAGGUUAACCCCCCACAUUGGUACUGAGACACGGACCAAACUCCUACGGGAGGCAGCAGUGAGGAAUAUUGGUCAAUGGGCGGAAGUCUGAACCAGCCAUGCCGCGUGCAGGAAGACGGCUCUAUGAGUUGUAAACUGCUUUUGUACAAGGGUAAACCUGAAUACGUGUAUUCAGCUGAAAGUACUGUACGAAUAAGGAUCGGCUAACUCCGUGCCAGCAGCCGCGGUAAUACGGAGGAUCCAAGCGUUAUCCGGAUUUAUUGGGUUUAAAGGGUGCGUAGGCGGAUUGAUAAGUUAGAGGUGAAAUGUCCGAGCUCAACUCGGGAACUGCCUCUAAUACUGUUGAUCUAGAGAGUAGAUGCGGUAGGCGGAAUGUAUGGUGUAGCGGUGAAAUGCUUAGAGAUCAUACAGAACACCGAUUGCGAAGGCAGCUUACCAAUCUAUAUCUGACGUUGAGGCACGAAAGCGUGGGGAGCAAACA
rnacentral:rRNA from 1 species